rnacentral:rRNA from 1 species
AUUGAACGCUGGCGGCAUGCCUUACACAUGCAAGUCGAACGGCAGCGGACCUUCGGGUGCCGGCGAGUGGCGAACGGGUGAGUAAUAUAUCGGAACGUACCUUUCAGUGGGGGAUAACGUAGCGAAAGUUACGCUAAUACCGCAUAUUCUGUGAGCAGGAAAGCAGGGGAGUCGCAAGACCUUGCGCUGAUUGAGCGGCCGAUAUCAGAUUAGCUAGUUGGUGAGGUAAAGGCUCACCAAGGCGACGAUCUGUAGCGGGUCUGAGAGGAUGAUCCGCCACACUGGAACUGAGACACGGUCCAGACUCCUACGGGAGGCAGCAGUGGGGAAUUUUGGACAAUGGGCGCAAGCCUGAUCCAGCCAUGCCGCGUGAGUGAAGAAGGCC